AAGCAUCCAGAUAUACACAUUGCCGAACGCAUGAGGAUGGCUUUUUACCCCGACACCAUAAAAGAGCCCGGAUGGGAACCUAAAAUAAAACCUACGAGAAUACCUGUCUCAAAAAGAAUCACCGUUCUUUAUCGGAACUCCGAUGACAAUUGUACAACAUCAGAGGAGACUCAAGAAGAAGAAGAAAAAAUUAAAGAAAGACCCGUCCCACCAG